rnacentral:rRNA from 1 species
GAUCCUGGCUCAGGAUGAACGCUAGCUACAGGCUUAACACAUGCAAGUCGAGGGGCGAGCAUGGUCUUAGCUUGCUAAGGCCGAUGGCGACCGGCGCACGGGUGAGUAACACGUAUCCAACCUGCCGUCUACUCUUGGACAGGCCUUCUGAAAGGAAGAUUAAUACAAGAUGGCAUCACUGAGUCCGACAUGUUCACAUGAUUAAAGGGUAUUCCGGUAGACGAUGGGGGA